rnacentral:rRNA from 1 species
CAGUCGAACGAGGGUCCUUCGGGACUCGAGUGGCGAACGGGUGAGUAACACGUAGGGAACCUGCCCGUGCGACCGGGAGAACUUUCGGAAACGGAAGCUGAUACCGGAUAGGGACAGAGACGGCAUCGACUCUGUGUUAAAGGAGCUGAAAGGCUCCGCGCACGGAUGGACCUGCGGUGCAUUAGCUGGUUGGUGAGGUAACGGCCCACCAAGGCGACGAUGCAUAGCCGGCCUGAGAGGGCGGACGGCCACACUGGGACUGAGACACGGCCCAGACUCCUACGGGAGGCAGCAGUAGGGAAUUUUCGUCAAUGGGCGCAAGCCUGAACGAGCAAUGCCGCGUGAACGAGGAAGGUCUUCGGAUCGUAAAGUUCUGUUGAAGGGGAAAAAGAGCGGAGAGAGGAAAUGGUCUCCGAUUGAUAUUACCCUUCGAGGAAGUCACGGCUAACUACGUGCCAGCAGCCGCGGUAAUACGUAGGUGGCGAGCGUUAUCCGGAAUGAUUGGGCGUAAAGGGUGCGUAGGCGGCCUGCUAAGUCUGGAGUGAAAGGUACCGGCUCAACCGGUAUAGGCUCUGGAAACUGGCGGGCUAGAGAGCAGGAGAGGGCGGUGGAACUCCACGUGUAGCGGUAAAAUGCGUAGAUAUAUGGAAGAACACCAGUGGCGAAGGCGGCCGCCUGGCCUGUUACUGACGCUGAGGCACGAAAGCGUGGGGAGCAAAUAGGAUUAGAUACCCUAGUAGUCCACGCCGUANACGAUGAGGACCAAGUGUUGGGGAANACCCAGUGCUGCAGUUAACGCAGUGAGUCCUCCGCCUGGGGAGUAUGCACGCAAGUGUGAAACUC